rnacentral:sRNA from 1 species
UAUGAAGUUUUCAGGUGUUUUGCUGUUUUAUUCACAGGGAACCCCAAAAUGUACAACCUGCCAGAGGAACCUUUUCGGAGACAGUUUUGCCUCAUUAACCCAGGGGGGCGGUUCCAGGAGAGGACGAAGUCAUGGGAGACUAUGGGAAGGGAUAGAAGUGUACCAGAUCUUACCGGAGGUCUCCAGGAGCCAGAGAAGCAAAGAGUCACAGGGAAGCAGAAUGAUUUGUCAGACCAGAGCAGGUGUCAGACCUCUGAGGAAGGAAACAAGGGGCUCCCUGGGAGGCCUGUGCCGAGACAGGCUGUUCCAGGACACCGGCCAAUGGUCCGCAGACACACAGUCAAUGACGCAGCCAUACUUCAGGUCCCAGAGGUGACUGGCCACCUGACCACCCAAGAGGCUGGUGUUUCUCGGUCUUAGCAGGAAGGGACUGGAAAAUCUGCUGCUGAGACACGAGUCUACAGUAAGCUGGGAAGCAUGAACCCAGUGUAGAGCUAAGUAUACGUUGAACACCCGGCUUGAGGGCCAGCCCCUCGGAUUUACCACCCUCUCCUCUUCAAAGCGAACUAACACACUUGAAUAGGAAUGGGAGGGAGUGAACGAGCCCUCAUCUCAGCAUUUGGGUUUCCUGGUCGCCAUCAGCUCUGACCUCCUUUGGCUGGAAGGUGCUAAAUGUCUGGGAAGUGGAUAAGGGGGAGCCUUAUAUCCGGGAGAAGUCAGAGAAGGAAUGCCGGUUACGGAACGGUGGAUGCCAGGCAGAGAAGCAUCCCGUUGGGAUGACGAAACGGAGCCUGGGAAACACUUGAACUGGAAGAUGCCCGAACGCUGUUUUGAUGUCCGUCCCAGUGAAAAGGACCUACCAUUCUGCCUUGUUCUACACCACAUGUAUGGGCAAAGUUGGCCGUCACUUUCCCAACAACACAGACCCCUGGGUCACUGCACGUUUACCUGUAUCCAUUUCUGCUCACUCUCCUUCCCGUUAAGAGCCUCCCGACACAGCGUACCUGACGAUGGUUACCAGAGAGCAGCUUUGGCACACCUUAUGUCUUUUGAUUCAAAUUCAAAACUUACAGCACAAACCAGGUCGGAGUUUAAGUUGGAAUUUGUUGCCAUUGAUUCCUUUUUAUAACUUUCUAUAGAUUCUAUUAUUUUUUUAUGUUCCCGAUCCUAAAGUUGCAGACAUGGGUUCAUCCUGAGUCCGUUUUCAAAGGACUUUGUAAAGGGGAAGUGGUUUUGUGCACAUUAUUGGGAAUACUUGUGAAUGUAUAGAAGGGAGGGGCUGAUUAUUUUUCUACAAAGUAAUUUAUGAUUUCUAAUUUUCUAAUGUGCCUUGGAUAUGUGCCAAAUGAUGGAAAAGAAAACAGUAAACUUUGACUCUUGAUUGUGUCCUGCCAUUUUUAAA